rnacentral:rRNA from 1 species
CCUACGGGAGGCUGCAGUAGGGAAUCUUCCGCAAUGGACGAAAGUCUGACGGAGCAACGCCGCGUGAGUGAAGAAGGUUUUCGGAUCGUAAAACUCUGUUGUUAGAGAAGAAUAAGGAUGAGAGUAGAAUGUUCAUCCCUUGACGGUAUCUAACCAGAAAGCCACGGCUAACUACGUGCCAGCAGCCGCGGUAAUACGUAGGUGGCAAGCGUUGUCCGGAUUUAUUGGGCGUAAAGCGAGCGCAGGCGGUUUCUUAAGUCUGAUGUGAAAGCCCCCGGCUUAACCGGGGAGGGUCAUUGGAAACUGGGAGACUUGAGUGCAGAAGAGGAGAGUGGAAUUCCAUGUGUAGCGGUGAAAUGCGUAGAUAUAUGGAGGAACACCAGUGGCGAAGGCGACUCUCUGGUCUGUAACUGACGCUGAGGCUCGAAAGCGUGGGGAGCAAACAGGAUUAGAUACCCGGGUAGUC